GCUUACGGCCAUACCAGCCCAAGAACGCCCGAUCUCGUCUGAUCUCGGAAGCUAAGAAGGCUUGGGCCUGGUUAGUACUUGGAUGGGAGACCUCUUGGGAAUACCAGGUGCUGUAAGCU
ensembl:rRNA 5S_rRNA 5S ribosomal RNA